GCCCUGCACUUCGGGAUAAGCCUGGGAAACUGGGUCUAAUACCGGAUAGGACCACAUUUUGGAUGGUGUGGUGGAAAGUUUUUCGGUGUGGGAUGAGCUCGCGGCCUAUCAGCUUGUUGGUGGGGUAAUGGCCUACCAAGGCGUCGACGGGUAGCCGGCCUGAGAGGGUGUACGGCCACAUUGGGACUGAGAUACGGCCCAG
rnacentral:rRNA from 1 species